UGCCCAGCAACUCCUAUCCCUACCUCCGCGAGGUACUGGUUGGAAACUACGAACAACCUUAGGUAAGAUCGGGUAAGCAACCCCGAUGGGAACUUUGGUCGUAGGCUGACAGGGAAGG
rfam:Aedes albopictus isolate Foshan contig124960, whole genome shotgun sequence.